UUUUAUUUUCCUUAAAAGGACACUAUAGUCACCACUUUACCUCAAUGGAUUGCUCUGUCCUUUUAACACUGCAAGUAAAAGACUGCAGUUGUUUAGGUUAAGUCCACCUCUAGUUGCUGCCAGUAUCACUGAGUAAAACGUGUAAGUUGUCAUAGAUAAGCAUUUACUCAAUGCUUCCUUAUGGAAAGUCUGAAUGUGCACGUGUCUCUUUGAGGAGCAUUGGAUUGGAUAUCGGCAGUAGAGGCAUGGCGUCAUGGGAAGUGGGGAAGUGUACAGCGUUUCAGGAAAGCGGUGAAUAAAACAUUUAAUUAUGACGUGUCGGAGGGGAACCUAUGUAGAGCUAGGGAUAUGGACAUAUUAGGGUUUGUAAUAGAGCUUUAUAUUCCUUACACUUUAGUGCUCCUUUAAAGAAAUUCUUCAAAUGAUAAACAAUUACAUCUUAUUUUUAAACUGUGUUUGUGUUAAAACAGAACACAGCAGUGAUAUGAUUAUAAACAUGCAAGGCCUGUGCUACUGUAAGGCAAAAAAAACAUCUGAGGGGACACUUAGGGAAAGCUCAAGAUUUCCCUAAUCUGCCCUGCGUCCCUCACAAUAGCAAAGAACUGUGUAGUCUGUACCUUAGACAGGUGCAUAUAAAGUGCCUUUGAAGUGCUCCCU